AUGCCGCGUCUGCGCAUUGACUUCCUCUCUGUCUCUCUCUCUCCCCUCCCCCAUUCAUUCUGCUGGAGCUCAAGAAGCCAAGAGGCGCUCCCUUCAGAAGCUGCCAAUCCGCACCGGAGAUUCCCAGCAUGCCCUGGGGUCGCCACAGGGAAGGUGGUGAUGUUUGCCAAGAAUGAUUGCAAAUGGGAUUGCAUCCAAACUGGUCAACCCAGAAGAGCGGGAAGCUGGCCUGAGACUGGCAAAAUAAAAAGGACAAGAUCCUCCAAUGAUUUGAAGAAAGGAUUGAAAGUGCAAUGGAGAACAGCUGUGUCAUGCUGUGGCUAGAACAUGCUCAGCACAGGGUUUGGGCUAUUCAGAACUGUUAUCAACCUAUGUUAAAGUAAGAGAUAGAGAUCUUCUGGACCAGCCUCUCCCCCUCCUAUGGAUAUACUCAGAGCUCCUGGCUUCCAGAACACCAUCGUUUCCCAUCCUCUGUGAUGUAUAAUGCUCCUUAUGUUCUUGUGUACAAGCCUGUGAAAAGCCUCAGAGAUCCACUGGCCAAAUGCUGAGGGACAAAUAUGAGAGUUCCUUCCUUGGACUCAAAGAUGGAGGUCCAUUUCCCCACUUUGAUCAGUUGUUUUUACUUCUUCCUUCUGGAAUUAAUUAAGAAUCAUCCUGCCUUAUUCUAUCUUCAUUAUUCCCUCAAAUGAUAUAAUAAGAUGUUCCCUCAAGCAGAGGGAUUCUUGUGUGCAGUCUUAGAUCCAGCAGUUUGGAGACCAGCAGAAUUGAUUAAGCUUAGCAUUGGAGAUUGGAUUAGACAGAAGUCUUACUACCUUAUCAACAAAAUGUAAAAUAAAUAAUUUUGACUACAUCA
rnacentral:lncRNA from 1 species